CCUGGCAACCAUGGCGGAAGGGAAACACCCGUUCCCAUCCCGAACACGGUUGUUAAGCCUUCCGACGCCAAUGGUACUGCCUGCGAGAGUGGGUGGGAGAGUAGGUGUUGCCAGGG
rnacentral:rRNA from 1 species